rnacentral:lncRNA from 1 species
AUGUCUCUAAAGUUCAGGUCUCUCAGCUCUUGUGUGAUUUUUAAACCUUCCCAGGUUAUCCAGAUCAUGGUGGCUAGGUUCUACUUGGGACUUGGUCCCAGACAAAUAUUUAACUUUCCUGUGGACUCUACUGAUAUGGGGGCUACAUUUUGGCUGGGUGUUGUGGUAAAUUAUACCUCCCAAUAUCUAUUUUAUGAGACACACCUUUCUCUGCGGCACCAUUAUUUCUUUACCUUGUAUUUAAUGCUAUUAAUCGUAAUGUGGUUUUAUGCCUUUCUGUCUCUUCAGUACCUCACAGCUGGUGUCCUGGUUGUGGUUGCAGGCCUGUCUCUCUCUGUUUGGCUGAUGCGUGUCGCUGUGUCUGUCAACUUAUUUGGUUUAAUUGUCACCAUUGCUAGUAUUGUGCUGUAUGGCAUAGACCUGGGAGCCGUUUCUGUUGUUUGGAUGUGUCACAGCUACAGAGAAGACAAGAAUAACUGUUUAAAAGUGGUGUCCAUUGCUCAGAGUCUGUUGACAGCCACAUACAUCACUAUGACUGUCCUGGCUGCUCUGCAGUUAUGCGUAUGCAUCACUUUAGUAGUUCUGGGCAUCAAAAUGUUCAACGGGACUAAACAGGGGGACAAAAGUGCUCCGUUGCUGCCCACGGAAGACCUCAGCUAUGAUGUGAUGUGA